rnacentral:rRNA from 1 species
GCCUGCAACAUAGCGUUAAUGCACUGGAUCCCAUUAGAACUCCAUAGUUAAGCGCACUCAGGAUAGAGUAGUAUUGGGAUGGGUGACCCCUUGGGAAGUGGUAGUGUUUUACAUGCC